rnacentral:misc_RNA from 1 species
UUUCCAUAGGAACAUACUAAACGUAGUUAGUAUCCUUCAAUGAAGCCUUGUAUCUCAAGUCAAUAACAGCAAGAGCAACUGUUCUGCUUUGCCUUGUUGGAAAUUGGCAACACUGUCCCUGUGCUUGGAGGUUGUUUAGACAACCAGCAGCUCUGUUAAUUCAUUUUUAACAAAGUCCACAGAUCAAACGACGGUGGUCCAAAGUCUUGUGUUCUCAAAUAUUUGAAAGAAUUGGAAGAACCAGGAAAACUUGUGGAUUAAAAUAUGACCGGCCUACCCUUGAAAAGGGGUUAGACUCUGCGUUCCGUAGGUGAACCUGCGGAAGGAUCAUUACUGAGAACUUGCCCUUUGGGUAGAUCUCCCACCCUAUGUUUACAUACUUUGUUGCUUUGGCAGGCCUGCAUCUGUGCUACUGGCCUUGGCUAGUUAGUGCCUGCCAGAGAACCAACACUCUGAAUCAUUUAUCGUCUGAGAACUAUUUAAUAGUUAAAACUUUCAACAACGGAUCUCUUGGUUCUG